rnacentral:rRNA from 1 species
CCUACGGGCGGCAGCAGUGGGGAAUAUUGGGCAAUGGGCGCAAGCCUGACCCAGCAACGCCGCGUGAAGGAAGAAGGCUUUCGGGUUGUAAACUUCUUUUAUCAGGGACGAAGCAAGUGACGGUACCUGAUGAAUAAGCCACGGCUAACUACGUGCCAGCAGCCGCGGUAAUACGUAGGUGGCACGCGUUAUCCGGAUUUCCUGGGUGUAAAGGGCGUGUAGGCGGGAGUGCAAGUCAGAUGUGAAACCUAUGGGCUCAACCCAUAGACUGCAUUUGAAACUGUCCGUCUUGAGUGCUGGAGAGGAAAUUGGAAUUCCGGGUGUAGCGGUGAAAUGCGUAGAUAUUAGGAGGAACACCAGUGGCGAAGGCGGAUUGCUGGACAGUAACUGACGCUGAGGCGCGAAAGCGUGGGGAGCAAACAGGAUUAGAUACCCCAGUAGUC